GCGAGGACCCACCGGAGGGCAAGACUAAUGCCAGCCGCUGCGGUAAUUUUAGCUCCGGUAGCGUAUACUAAAUUUGUUGCAGUUAAAAAGCUCGUAGUUGGAUUCCUGCUCUGGACGUAGGGGGCCGCUAACGCGGUCCGCCAUGCGCACCCGGCAUUCUGCUCGCCGCUCCCGAGAUCGUUGUCAAAGGCGGCUCGGGGUGGUUGGCGGAGAUCGCUUUGCAAAAAUUAGAGUGCUCUAGGCGGGCCACUAAGCUCGAAUAGUAAUGCACGGUACGAUGAAACAUGACUUUGGCUCUUAUUCGGUUGGGGCACGGAGACCGAGGUAAUGAUUAAUAGGAGCAGACGGGGGCAUUCGUAUUCCGACGCUAGAGGUGAAAUUCUUGGACCGUCGGAAGACGCACCACUGCGAAAGCAUUUGCCAAGAAUGUUUCCGUUGACCAAGAACGAAAGUGUGGGGCUCAAAGAAGAUUAGAUACCUUUGUAGUCUUGACCCUAAACGAUACCCUCCAGCGAUCCGGCUGCGUACGA
rnacentral:rRNA from 1 species